rnacentral:rRNA from 1 species
CCUACGGGUGGCAGCAGUGAGGAAUAUUGGUCAAUGGUCGGGAGACUGAACCAGCCAAGCCGCGUGAGGGAUGAAGGUACAGAGUAUCGUAAACCUCUUUUGUCAGGGAACAAAGGCGGGGACGUGUCCCCGGAUGAGUGUACCUGAAGAAAAAGCAUCGGCUAACUCCGUGCCAGCAGCCGCGGUAAUACGGAGGAUGCGAGCGUUCUCCGGGUUUAUUGGGGUUAAAGGGUGCGCAGGCGGUCUGUUAAGUCAGCGGUAAAAGCCCGGGGCUCAACCCCGGCCCGCCGUUGAAACUGGCAGUCUCGAGUUGGAGAGAAGUAUGCGGAAUGCGCGGUGGAGCGGUGAAAUGCAUAGAUAUCGCGCAGAACUCCGAUUGCGAAGGCAGCAUGCCGGCUCCACACUGACGCUGAGGCACGAAAGCGUGGGUAUCGAACAGGAUUAGAUACCCUAGUAGUC